UCUUAUAUAGCUCAACUGGUAGAGCAUGAGAAUCUUGAUCUCAGGGCCGUGGGUUUGAGCCCCGCCUUGGGCA